GCGUGAGUGAUGAAGGCCUUAGGGUUGUAAAGCUCUUUCACCCGCGACGAUGAUGACGGUAGCGGGAGAAGAAGCCCCGGCUAACUUCGUGCCAGCAGCCGCGGUAAUACGAAGGGGGCGAGCGUUGUUCGGAAUCACUGGGCGUAAAGGGCGCGUAGGCGGCGCCGGAAGUCAGGCGUGAAAGCCCCGGGCUCAACCUGGGAAUGGCGCUUGGGACUCUGGUGCUUGAGUUCGGGAGAGGAGCGUGGAAUUCCCAGUGUAGAGGUGAAAUUCGU
rnacentral:rRNA from 1 species